rnacentral:misc_RNA from 1 species
GAAAUUUUGCAACUUCCUCUCUUUCAAAUUACUCGAAGCUGCUUCUUCUCUUUCCUUGCUAGAUCUUCAAUCGCUCUAAUGGAGGAUCGUAAAGAGAAAAAUGCACCAUGGCUGUCAGUACCACAGUUUGGGGAUUGGGAUCAGAAGGGUGAAUUGCCGGAUUACUCGAUGGAUUUCACGAAAAUAAGGGAAAUGAGGAAGCAGAACAAGAGGGAUGUGUCAAGAGCCAGUCUUGGUAAUGAAGAAGACCUUAUUAACCCAAUAGCCACAAAUGCAAAAGCUGCCCAUAGUGAUCACCACCACAACGAUCAUUAUCAUCAAAGCCAUCACCAGUCCCCUAAUACAAGGAGGAGCAUUUUCAGCUAC